UGCUGGAGGGGAAGGAUGGGUGCAACCCUGGGUUUCAGAAACCAGCUACAAGAAGCAACAUCUACACAGCACCUAUUGAGCAUCAGCUGCAUGCACGCGUGCGAGAGAGUGCGCGCACACACACACACAUACACACAUGCACACACACACACACGUGCACACUGAGACAUGAGGCCGCCAUCUGCACUCAGCACUCAACAGAUGAGCAGAAACCUGCAGCAGUCCAGCAUCCGUGUGUGGCCACACAGCAAGUUGGGGUGGAACCGGUGAGAGGCAGGAAGAAGGGAAGGCUGUGGGAGAUGCUCCCCAAAGUCUCUCAGCCACUUGGCCAAUGCCGGAAGGUCAUGGGUGGGGACUUGGGGUAGCCAACCACUGCCUCCGCAGAAGCAAAGGCCUGAGAAGUUCCCAGCAACCGACUCUCCUGAAUGGACUGUCCCUUUCCCACUGGUGCUCAACGAGUCAAUAUUUAACUGUGACACCCGGGGCCAGAGCCACUCUCCUAACUGAAGAUGGCAAAGAAAGGCAGCUGAUGACGUCUAAUAGAUAGAGGCAAAUUCAUGCACCACGCAAAGCCCCGCAAACACCCGUGUUGCAGCAGGAACCAGGAAACAGAGGGGUGAAGCAUCUUGUCCAAGGGCACACAGACACCCCAGAAGUUCAGCUCAGGCACAGGACUGCUAAUGGUGACUCAUCUGCCUUCCCAUGGACUCAUGACAGCCAGGGCCGGCUGACCAGAAACCAGCAAUGCAGCCAUGCAGCCAUGCAGCCAUGCACCCGCCUGUGUGCUGCUGCAGCGCCUGCACGAUACCACCUUUUGUGUCCAACACCUUACAGAAGAUGCCAUGUCAGAGGGGAAUCAGUCAACAGUGGUGGGCAUGCUCCAGCCUCAUCACUAGACCAUUGAAUAAACCCAAUAUUGGGGGAAGAAGUACCUGAAGAGAACACUUGCUAAGAUUAACAGCCCAACUCACUCCACUAACCAUCAUGGAAGGAGUCAUUACAUCAUUCCUGUCCAGGGAAGAAGCCAGCCACCCUCAGGAUGAUCCAUAAGACCAACUCAAUGGACACCUUGGGAACCACCUGCAAGUAGUCCCCAGCCAGAUGACUCAGACACGGUGGUUAGAUCUGCGGUUGAUGUUGUCUUUGCCUGAGCAAAGAGGCGGAUGACAUCGGUGUGAUGCAGUUGAAUACUGACUUGAUAACAAUGGGAAGGCCACAGGAGACCCCCUCCCCAGAGCCUUGCUGAGCUAGUGUCACACAAGCAAGCAAAGACCCAACCGCACACUCACCAAGUGAGAGACUGCUGUGCAGAAGGUACUUUGGCUCCCUUAUCUGGCAAAAAGGAUCAUGGGAGUUAUUACUUGAUCUCUUUAAAUGACCAUGUGCUUGUAUUCUGUAGUGAGGAAGCAAAGCACCAUGCAACUAUGUAUCAAACAGAAGUGGGGAUCAUGGCAGGGUGGGGUGCGGUGUCAGGAGUCAUAGUGAUGGACCUGCGGCCGCCAGGCUGGCCAUCUGAAUGAUGAAGGCUGUUGUUGCUGUUGGAAACUGGGGUUCUUGGCAGGAUGCUGAAGGUGUGGCUUUGUUCCUAGAGGCUGGUCCAGCUACAGACUAAGAAAUGGGGGCUUGGCUGAAUCUAACCAGGAGGUCGGGAAGGUUCCGAGGGGCUCUGACACUCGGUAGGAGGUGGAGUGGGAACUUGGUGGGUGGUUAUGGCAGGAAGGGCACUCCAGGGCGAGGCCCAGCACCUGUGAAGGUCUAGAGGCUGGACAUGGUCAGCCUGUUCAAGGUCAGAAAGGCUGGAGAGAGGGUGAGUUAAGGAGUGUGGGCAAGGGAGAAAGGCUGCAGAGGUGGAGCUUCCUGCCCACAAGUACCUAUGCAUGGUGCUCACGAGGCCCCUUUCAGUGCCUGAGUUCAAGUCUCAGCUCGGCUCCUUAUCGGCUUUGUGACUCUGGGCAAGUGGCUUUGUGUCUCUGAGCCUUGGCUUCUUCGGUGACAAAAAUAAAGAUACCAUAUGCCUCAAAAGCUUGUUAUAAGAGUAAAGAUUCAUUCAUUCAUUCAUUCAGCACUUGCUUGUGGAGACAAUGCCACUGGGUAUCCAAGCCAAGGACACCUUGACCUCAUGUGACUAAAAUGUUGUAAAAGACACAAUAGCUAUACAGCCCUAACAAACAUGUGAUUGUGACAUUAUUUGAUCAUUGAUCAAACUGAAAGGAAAUUGAGGAAUGUGGUGAGUGAUGUGAACAUUAGGCUACACCCCGCUUUGGGUGUGGAAAGAAAAUGUGGUCACGAGGACAUGGUGUGAGGAUGCCAGCGAGCCAAGGUCAGGGAGCUCAACACGGAGGAAGAAAUGCAAUGAGGACUCCAGGGAGGAAGGCUGCUCAGGGUGUAUGGAAGGAACAUCGAUUCAGUAUGGCUGGAGCCGCUGAAGGAGCUCCUGAAUACACAAAGCAAACACUGACUGAAUUGGAGAGAGAAAUUGAUAGCAGCCACGUUGGCAGAAGCCUUCAAUAUCCCCACUGUCAAUAACGGAUGAAACAACCAGAAGACAACGGGAGGGGAGCAGGCACCUGAACAACCGUAUUGACCAGGAAGACUGACGUAACGGACGCUCAUGUGCAUCCUCUGCGACAGGCCUUGUGUUAGGCCACAAAGCAAAACAAAUCAAUAGAAUCAGGAAUAUUAAAAUCCCACACAGUAAACUGCCCCCCAGUCAGAAUGAAAUGAAGCUAGUAAUCAAUCCUAGGAGGAAAAUGGAAAUACACACAAAUA